rnacentral:rRNA from 1 species
AGCUUGCUCCUGGAUUCAGCGGCGGACGGGUGAGUAAUGCCUAGGAAUCUGCCUGGUAGUGGGGGAUAACGUCCGGAAACGGGCGCUAAUACCGCAUACGUCCUGAGGGAGAAAGUGGGGGAUCUUCGGACCUCACGCUAUCAGAUGAGCCUAGGUCGGAUUAGCUAGUUGGUGGGGUAAAGGCCUACCAAGGCGACGAUCCGUAACUGGUCUGAGAGGAUGAUCAGUCACACUGGAACUGAGACACGGUCCAGACUCCUACGGGAGGCAGCAGUGGGGAAUAUUGGACAAUGGGCGAAAGCCUGAUCCAGCCAUGCCGCGUGUGUGAAGAAGGUCUUCGGAUUGUAAAGCACUUUAAGUUGGGAGGAAGGGCAGUAAGUUAAUACCUUGCUGUUUUGACGUUACCAACAGAAUAAGCACCGGCUAACUUCGUGCCAGCAGCCGCGGUAAUACGAAGGGUGCAAGCGUUAAUCGGAAUUACUGGGCGUAAAGCGCGCGUAGGUGGUUCAGCAAGUUGGAUGUGAAAUCCCCGGGCUCAACCUGGGAACUGCAUCCAAAACUACUGAGCUAGAGUACGGUAGAGGGUGGUGGAAUUUCCUGUGUAGCGGUGAAAUGCGUAGAUAUAGGAAGGAACACCAGUGGCGAAGGCGACCACCUGGACUGAUACUGACACUGAGGUGCGAAAGCGUGGGGAGCAAACA